rnacentral:rRNA from 1 species
UACGUAGGUGGCAAGCGUUAUCCGGAUUUAUUGGGCGUAAAGGGUGCGUAGGCGGUCAGUUAAGUUUGGAGUAAAAGCGUUGGGCUUAACCCAAUCGAGCUCUGAAUACUGGCUGACUGGAGUGCAGAAGAGGGUAAUGGAAUUCCAUGUGUAGCGGUAAAAUGCGUAGAUAUAUGGAGGAACACCAGCGGCGAAGGCGGUUACCUGGUCUGUAACUGACGCUGAGGCACGAAAGCGUGGGGAGCAAAUA